rnacentral:rRNA from 1 species
UGCCAGACUCCUACGGGAGGCAGCAGUGGGGAAUAUUGGGCAAUGGGCGCAAGCCUGACCCAGCAACGCCGCGUGAAGGAAGAAGGCUUUCGGGUUGUAAACUUCUUUUAAGAGGGACGAAACAAAUGACGGUACCUCUUGAAUAAGCCACGGCUAACUACGUGCCAGCAGCCGCGGUAAUACGUAGGUGGCAAGCGUUAUCCGGAUUUAUUGGGUGUAAAGGGCGUGUAGGCGGGAAAGCAAGUCAGAUGUGAAAACUAUGGGCUCAACCCAUAGCCUGCAUUUGAAACUGUUUUUCUUGAGUGCUGGAGAGGCAAUCGGAAUUCCGUGUGUAGCGGUGAAAUGCGUAGAUAUACGGAGGAACACCAGUGGCGAAGGCGGCUUGCUGGACGAAAACUGACGUUGAGGCUCGAAAGCGUGGGGAGCAAACAGGAUUAGAUACCCCUGUA